rnacentral:rRNA from 1 species
UACGUAGGUGGCAAGCGUUGUCCGGAAUUAUUGGGCGUAAAGCGCGCGCAGGUGGGAUAAUAAGUCUGGUGUGAAAGUUCGGGGCUCAACCCCGUGAAGCAUUUGGAAACUGUUAUUCUUGAGUGCAGGAGAGGAAAGUGGAAUUCCUAGUGUAGCGGUGAAAUGCGUAGAUAUUAGGAGGAACACCAGUGGCGAAGGCGACUUUCUGGACUGUGUCUGACACUGAGGCGCGAAAGCCAGGGUAGUGAACGGGAUUAGAUACCCCUGUAGU